UGAAUACGAGACGCUACGGCGUCGAAGCAGUCUAUGUCAUACUUCCAAGAAAAGCUUGCACUGUCAUAAACAAAUAAUGCCUGUACCAUAACCGACACAGGUGGGUAGGUAGAGUAUACUAAGGGGCGCGAGAUAACUCUCUCUAAGGAACUCGGCAAAAUGACUCCGUAACUUCGGGAGAAGGAGUGCCUUAUUCGUAAGGUUGCAAUAACAAGAUCCAAGCAACUGUUUAUCAAAAACACAGGUCUCCGCUAAGUCGUAAGACGAUGUAUGGGGGCUGACGCCUGCCCAGUGCCAGAAGGUUAAAGAAGUUGGUUAGCAUUCGCGAAGCUGAUAACUGAAGCCCUGGUGAACGGCGGCCGUAACUAUAACGGUCCUAAGGUAGCGAAAUUCCUUGUCGGGUAAGUUCCGACCCGCACGAAAGGCGUAAUGAUUUGGAUACUGUCUCGGAGAGAGGCUCGGUGAAAUAGACUUGUCUGUGAAGAUGCGGACUACCUGCACCUGGACAGAAAGACCCUAUGAAGCUUUACUGUAACUUGAAAUUGAAAUUGGACUUUAUUUGCGCAGUAUAGGUGGGAGGCGUUGAGAAUAUUCUUGCGGGAAUAUUGGAGCCAUCAGUGAGAUACCACCCUUGUAAUGUUAGAUUUCUAACUUUGGAUCAUUAUCUGGUCAAAGGACAGUUUCAGGCGGGCAGUUUGACUGGGGCGGUCGCCUCCCAAACGGUAACGGAGGCGUACAAAGGUUUCCUCUGAACGGGUAGAAAUCGUAUCUAGAGUGUAAAGGCAUAAGGAAGCUUGACUGUGAGACCUACAAGUCGAGCAGGGACGAAAGUCGGUCUUAGUGAUCUGACGGUGCUGAGUGGAAAGGCCGUCACUCAACGGAUAAAAGUUACUCUAGGAUAACAGGCUGAUCUCCCCCAAGAGUUCACAUCGACGGGGAGGUUUGGCACCUCGAUGUCGGCUCAUCGCAUCCUGGGGCGGUAGUACGUCCCAAGGGUUGGGCUGUUCGCCCAUGAAAGCGGUACGCGAGCUGGGUUCAGAACGUCGUGAGACAGUUCGGUCCAUAUCCGGUGUAGGCGUUAGAAUAUUGAUAGUAGCCUUCUUUACUACGAGAGGACCGAGAAGGACAUACCUCUGGUGUACCAGUUAUCGUGCCAACGGUAAACGCUGGGUAGCUAUGUAUGGAGAGGAUAACCGCUGAAAGCAUCUAAGUGGGAAGCCCGCCUCAAGAUAAG
rnacentral:rRNA from 1 species